UAGGUAGCUCAAUGGCAGAGCAAUGGUUUUGUAAACCAUAGGUUGUAGGUUCAACUCCUAUCCUA
rnacentral:tRNA from 1 species